GAUUGAAGAUUUUCACCAUGCCCUGGAAAAAUCAUUGAUAGGGUUAGCAUCCAACAAAAACUGGCUGUCUGAGACAUGAAAUUGCUUGUCCACAUAAGCGUGCCUGAUAAGGGUUCAACAUUAAAACUCAAGUAAUACAGCUAAGUGUAGUGGUUCCUGGCUCUAGCCCUCUAUCUAUACUAUAUGAUCACAAAUUCCCAAUCAAUUUGUCGACUUACCCUUUAGAGUAGAUUUAAGAUAAUCAAGAACUAGAUGGGGGCAAAAAUCAGCUACCAAUGAAACUUGUUCAAAUAGUCUUCAAUAGCAUUAACUAAUAUAAUAUGUUUUACUAUGAUGACGCACAUAACCAGGGCAACCUGAAGCUUAACGUGGUUUUACAAGAGCAAUUCACUAGCAUAAGAAUAAAGGAAACAAGAUUUACAUCCUCAGGAGCAAGAUCAGGUACUGACAUUACUACAGAGUGACACCAUCCACCACAAACAGGUGGGCAACACUUAAGGGUCCAUUGGUGGGGCCAACUAUGAGUGGGAAUUUUGAUAUAAAAUUAAAGCACGAAAUGCUACCUCAAUAGAUCAUAGGAAUCCUGACAACCAGAAAAAAUUGGAGAUCAAAGAGAAUAAAAUGAUGGCAUAGAGCAUUUCCCCGGCAAAAUUGAAGAAAUCAUGGCACCCAGCACCAGAAUUAACUGGUGAUGUAGAUAGGAAGUGAAGCAGAAUAAUUCUAAAUCAAGAAAGUAAUAAGGCCACUUCCAAGGAAUCAAACAUCAGGACCAUUAAUUUAUAUUUCUUGUUAUCCUUUUGUUCAAUAAUGCCAUUAAUUUAUUAACACGGACAUUAAGCAAGAGAUAUAGGGCCAAAAUUGUGCUGAGAAGAAUUUGAUGUGGCAUGAACCCCAUGUUUCAGUGUAUAAGACUUGGGAGUUAUAAUCCUGUAUGGCAACAAUCCAUCUGAUUUUUUAGCCUUAUGUGCUCUGUGAAGUAGAGUUCAAACCAUAUCAUAUUAUUCUUAGACUAUUGUGGGUCUUAUAACUCCAGCUUAGCAUCCACAUUAGCAAAUUAUGACAGUGUUGAUCCAGGUACCAUUUUAUUAAUUCAUACCACAUCCAGCUGAGAAUCAAAUGCUCAAUACAGAAAUGUCAUAAGUUAGUAGGGGAAGGAAUGA
rnacentral:misc_RNA from 1 species